UGGGGAAUAUUGCACAAUGGAGGGAACUCUGAUGCAGCGACGCCGCGUGAGUGAUGAAGGAAUUCGUUUCGUAAAACUCUGUUCUAUGGGAAGAAAAGGACUGUACCAUAGGAGAAAGCUCCGGCUAAAUACGUGCCAGCAGCCGCGGUAAUACGUAUGGAGCGAGCGUUGUCCGGAAUUAUUGGGCGUAAAGGGUGCGCAGGCGGCUUUACAAGUUGGAUGUGAAAUAUUGUGGCUCAACCACAACGUGCAUCCAAAACUGCAAAGCUUGAGUUAAGGAGAGGUAAGUGGAAUUCCUGGUGUAGCGGUGGAAUGCGUAGAUAUCAGGAGGAAUACCGGUGGCGAAGGCGACUUACUGGACUUAAACUGACGCUCAGGCACGAAAGCGUGGGGAGCAAACAGG
rnacentral:rRNA from 1 species